UAGGUGAACCUUGCGGAAGGAUCAUUACCGAGUUGAUUCGGGCUCCGUCCCGAUCCUCCCACCCUUUGUAUACCUACCUCUGUUGCUUUGGCGGGCCGCGGUCUUCCGCGGCCGCCCCCCGAUUUUGGGGGGUGGCUAGUGCCCGCCAGAGGACUAUCAAACUCCAGUCAGUAAACGUUGCAGUCUGAAAAAAAUAUUAAAUAAACUAAAACUUUCAACAACGGAUCUCUUGGUUCUGGCAUCGAUGAAGAACGCAGCGAAAUGCGAUAAGUAAUGUGAAUUGCAGAAUUCAGUGAAUCAUCGAAUCUUUGAACGCACAUUGCGCCCCUUGGUAUUCCGGGGGGCAUGCCUGUUCGAGCGUCAUUUCAACCCUCAAGCUCUGCUUGGUAUUGGGCACCGUCCUUUGCGGGCGCGCCUCAAAGACCUCGGCGGUGGCGUCUUGCCUCAAGCGUAGUAGAAUACACCUCGCUUCGGAGCGUAAGGCGUCGCCCGCCGGACGAACCUUCUGAACUUUUCUCAAGGUUGACCUCGGAUCAGGUAGGGAUACCCGCUGAACUUAAGCAUAUCAAUAAGCGGAGGAAAAGAAACCAACAGGGAUUGCCUUAGUAACGGCGAGUGAAGCGGCAACAGCUCAAAUUUGAAAGCUGGCUCCUUCGGAGUCCGCGUUGUAAUUUGUAGA
rnacentral:rRNA from 1 species